rnacentral:ncRNA from 122 species
UACCUGGUUGAUCCUGCCAGUAGUCAUAU